AGGAACGACGACGGGCAACACGCGUCAUGCUGGUCAUGUGAUCUGUAUCGUUCAAUGUAAUUGGCAGCGAAGGAAGGAUAUUUCCGGCUACAUAGGUUAGUUACCAUGCCAACGUAGACAGACUCGCCUCCAUCCUUUGAGACGCUGACAUUUUUUUAACCAUUUAUUCGUUUAUUGUGCAGUCUUUGUUAAAGUAAGAUACUUGUGACUAUUUACUUCAAAUAAACUGCCAGCAGGAUGUUUGGUUGUGAGGAACGACGUUCCAAAAAACAAACUAGUGCAGAGGGCGAGAGACAGAAUCAAGAAAGAUGGCGAGAUGAUAAACCACAUUGCAGAGCUGGACAGUAUCUGUGGUGAAAUGCAAAAUGCUGAGUUUGAGGGCUCCACCAAGGCUGGUUCCAUGAAGACCCUGAAGCUGAGAGAACUGACCCAGCAGAGAGAGACUGAGCUGGGAAAUACUGCUCUGACGAUG